GAAGUGACAGGUGGUGCAUGGUUGUCGUCAGCUCGUGCCGUGAGAUGUUGGGUUAAGUCCCGCAACGAGCGCAACCCUUGCCUUUAGUUGCCAGCAUUAAGUUGGGCACUCUAGAGGGACUGCCAGGGAUAACCUGGAGGAAAGUGGGGAUGACGUCAAAUCAUCAUGCCCCUUAUGCUUAGGGCUACACACGUGCUACAAUGGGUGGUACAGAGGGCAGCCAAGUCGUGAGGCGGAGCUAAUCCCUUAAAGCCAUUCUCAGUUCGGAUUGUAGGCUGAAACUCGCCUACAUGAAGCUGGAGUUACUAGUAAUCGCAGAUCAGAAUGCUGCGGUGAAUGCGUUCCCGGGUCUUGUACACACCGCCCGUCACACCACGGGAGUUGGGGGCGCCCGAAGCCGGAUUGCUAACCUUUUGGAAGCGUCCGUCGAAGGUGAAAUCAAUAACUGGGGUGAAGUCGUAACAAGGUACCCG
rnacentral:rRNA from 1 species